GCGGGAGUAGCUCAGUUGGUAGAGCGCUAGCCUUCCAAGCUGGAUGUCGAGGGUUCGAGUCCCUUCUCCCGCUCCA
rnacentral:tRNA from 2 species